CCUGCCUAUUUCCGGUUCCCGCCCCGAGCCACUUCCGGCGCGCGGCAGCAGAGAGCCGCGAGGGCCGCGCGAGGCAACCAUGGCAACGGCGACCACCAAGGUGCCUGAGGUCCGGGACGUGACCAGGAUCGAGCGCAUCGGUGCCCACUCCCACAUUCGAGGCCUGGGCUUGGAUGAUGCCUUGGAACCACGGCAGGUAAGG